GUGCCAGCAGCCGCGGUAAUACGGAGGAGGCAAGCGUUAUCCGGAAUUAUUGGGCGUAAAGCGUCCGCAGGUGGCACCUCAAGUCUGCUGUCAAAGACCGGGGCUUAACCCCAGAAAGGCAGUGGAAACUGAAGUGCUAGAGUGCAGUAGGGGUAGAGGGAAUUCCCGGUGUAGCGGUGAAAUGCGUAGAGAUCGGGAAGAACAUCGGUGGCGAAAGCGCUCUGCUGGACUGCAACUGACACUCAGGGACGAAAGCUAGGGGAGCGAAUGGGAUUAGAUACCCCCGUAGUCC
rnacentral:rRNA from 1 species